UAUGUGAUCGUCUCUCGCAUAUCAAUAAGCGGAGGAAAAGAAACUAACAAGGAUUCCCCUAGUAACGGCGAGUGAAGCGGGAAGAGCUCAAAUUUGAAAUCUUAAAGGGUCUCCCUUUACGAAUUGUAGUUUAAAUGAAGUGUUUUCUGUUGAGGUUUUGGUAAAAGUUCUUUGGAAUAGGACAUCAUAGAGGGUGAGAAUCCCGUAUUUGACCUUUACUUUCAACUUCGUGAUACACUUUCAAAGAGUCGGAUUGUUUGGGAAUGCAGUCCAAAAUGGGUGGUAAAUUUCAUCUAAAGCUAAAUAUUGGCGAGAGACCGAUAGCGAACAAGUACCGUGAGGGAAAGAUGAAAAGAACUUUGAAAAGAGAGUUAAACAGUACGUGAAAUUGUCAAAAGGGAAGCGUUUGACACCAGUGUUGUUUUUCUGAAAAUCAAUUAAAGAACUGUUUAUGCUAAGCUGUUUAGACUUAUCAGCUAUCUGUUAAGUUUUGAGCUUUUCUUUAAUGCACUUUUCAGUUAACAAGUCAACAUCAAUUUCUUUUGCUGUAAAAAAGCUUGAGGAGGGUGGCUUGAGAUUCGUCUUAAGUGUUUAUAGCCUCUUGCCUAUGCAGUCGGAGAGAUUGAGGUCUGCAGCGUAGAUCCUUCGGGGCUAAAUGCAUUUGUGCUAAGUUAUAGCAUUUUAUAGACAACUUGUUGACUAUGAUUUGUCUUGUAGCUUACUCGCUUAUGUUAUUUUACCUACGCUUAGGAUGUUGAUCUGUAGUGCGUGCGC
rnacentral:rRNA from 1 species